UAGUACCACUUCUACAAGCCCCUUCCAGAGAGAAGGUCUGGGUCUCAGUAGGAGAUUUUACAAAGAUUUUAGGGGCACCUGGAUGGCUCAGGCAGUAGAGCAUGCUCCUUUUGAUCUCAGGGUCCUGAGUUUAAGGCCCAUGUGAGUCACAGAGCCUACCUGGUUAAAAAAAAAAUUUUUUUUUAAUUGGGGAAUUUUUUGUUAUCUACAGGGGCGACAAAAACCAAUUUUGUCGUAGCAGAAAGAGAACAACAACCCUGGAACCAUAGGAGGGAAUACCUGUGUCCCAGGGAGGUAAUCAAGGGAGAAGAGAGAAGUUACCAUGUUAUUAGACAAACUUCACAGUCUGUCACUGUCACCUUAUAUAUGAAAGGAUAUUGUAAUGAGACAUAUUGAGUAUUCCUAGGAAACUACUGGAAUGAUAAUCUCUCUCUCCUAAAGGACCCCCAUGCUUUUUUUUUCCAAGUAAAAAAACAAAUAGUAUUUGGAUAUUGGCAUCUUUAUUCCCAUUUUACCAGAAAUUGUUCAAAGAACAUGAACGAUUUAUCUACCGAUCAGAAAAAAAAGUUUUAUAACCUUAAAACAUGUUUACUCACUAUGAGCUGUAAAUUGAUUAAAUCGGAGAUUUUGGUG